GGCUCCGUAGCUUAGAAAAAAGAAGCGCCCAUCUAGCGAAAUGGGAGUCGUGGGUACGAUUCCCACAGGAGCUC
rnacentral:tRNA from 1 species